UAGUUUUAUCUUCAUGCAAUAUCA
rnacentral:miRNA from 1 species